AUUGAACGCUGGCGGAAUGCUUUACACAUGCAAGUCGAACGGCAGCACGGGGGCAACCCUGGUGGCGAGUGGCGAACGGGUGAGUAAUACAUCGGAACGUGCCCGGUCGUGGGGGAUAACGUAGCGAAAGUUACGCUAAUACCGCAUACGAUCUGAGGAUGAAAGCGGGGGACCUUCGGGCCUCGCGCGAUCGGAGCGGCCGAUGUCAGAUUAGGUAGUUGGUGGGGUAAAGGCCUACCAAGCCGACGAUCUGUAGCUGGUCUGAGAGGACGACCAGCCACACUGGGACUGAGACACGGCCCAGACUCCUACGGGAGGCAGCAGUGGGGAAUUUUGGACAAUGGGCGCAAGCCUGAUCCAGCCAUUCCGCGUGCAGGACGAAGGCCUUCGGGUUGUAAACUGCUUUUGUAUGGAACGAAAAGGCUCUGGCUAAUACCUGGGACUCAUGACGGUACCGUAAGAAUAAGCACCGGCUAACUACGUG
rnacentral:rRNA from 1 species